rnacentral:rRNA from 1 species
CAGGUCAGGCGGGGCUACCCGCUGAGUUUAAGC